rnacentral:rRNA from 1 species
AGAUUGAACGCUGGCGGCAUGCCUUACACAUGCAAGUCGAACGGCAGCACGGGGGCAAUCCUGGUGGCGAGUGGCGAACGGGUGAGUAAUACAUCGGAACGUGCCCAGUAGUGGGGGAUAACCCGGCGAAAGCCGGACUAAUACCGCAUACGACCUACGGGUGAAAGCGGGGGAUCGCAAGACCUCGCGCUAUCGGAGCGGCCGAUGCCAGAUUAGCUAGUUGGUGGGUAAAAGCCUACAAGGCGACGAUCUGUAGCUGGUCUGAGAGGACGACCAGCCACACUGGGACUGAGACACGGCCCAGACUCCUACGGGAGGCGAGCAGGUGGGGUAAUUUGGACAAGUGGGCGCAAGCCUGAUCCAGCCAUCGCCGCGUCGGCGGGAAGAACGGGCCUUACGGGGUUCGGUAAACCGUCGUUUUACGUCGAAGGGUAAACGAAAA